rnacentral:rRNA from 1 species
UACGGAGGGAGCUAGCGUUUGUUCGGAAUUACUGGGCGUAAAGCGCACGUAGGCGGCUUUGUAAGUUAGAGGUGAAAGCCUGGAGCUCAACUCCAGAAUUGCCUUUAAGACUGCAUCGCUUGAAUCCAGGAGAGGUGAGUGGAAUUCCGAGUGUAGAGGUGAAAUUCGUAGAUAUUCGGAAGAACACCAGUGGCUGAAGGCGGCUCACUGGACUGGUAUUGACGCGUGAGGUGCGAAAGCGUGGGGAGCAAACAGG